rnacentral:rRNA from 1 species
AGUGAACGCUGGCGGCAGGCCUAACACAUGCAAGUCGAGCGGCAGCGCGGGGGCAACCCUGGCGGCGAGCGGCGGACGGGUGAGGAAUACAUCGGAAUCUGCCUUGUUGUGGGGGAUAACGUAGGGAACUUACGCUAAUACCGCAUGAGACCGUAAGGUGAAAGUGGGGGAUCGCAAGACCUCACGCGACAAGAUGAGCCGAUGUCGGAUUAGCUAGUUGGUGAGGUAAAGGCUCACCAAGGCAACGAUCCGUAGCUGGUCUGAGAGGAUGAUCAGCCACACUGGGACUGAGACACGGCCCAGACUCCUACGGGAGGCAGCAGUGGGGAAUAUUGGACAAUGGGCGCAAGCCUGAUCCAGCCAUGCCGCGUGUGUGAAGAAGGCCUUCGGUU